rnacentral:lncRNA from 10 species
GCUAGCGACACGGGAGUGGCAAACGCAUCCUCUUGCCGUUCCCGGUGUUUGGGCCUUGCCUGUGACGGUGGGAAAAGAAAAUGGCCUUGCUGUGCUACAACCGGGGCUGCGGUCAGCGCUUCGAUCCUGAGACCAAUUCCGACGAUGCUUGCACAUACCACCCAGGUGUUCCGGUCUUUCACGAUGCAUUAAAGGUAGGAACUAUAUUUUCAUUUUUUUCAUAUCUGUGUAGUAAAUUGAGAGAUGUAAUACUAAAUCUUUAUUUUCUCAUCUUUUUUUCUCAGCUAGUGACUUUCUUCUUAAUGACCUUUGCGGGGGAGGUGCUUUAAGCGUAUACUCCACUAAAGACAAAGAAAAGACAGUAGAUGAUGAUCUUAAGGUCUUUUCCAGUUAUAAAAUUGUAUUUUAAUUCUGGGUUUUUUUUUUUUUUUUUGAGAUGGAGUUUCACUGUGUUGCCCAGGUGGAGUGCAGUGGUGCGAUCUCAGCUCACUGCAACGUCCGCCUCCUGGGUUCAAGCGAUUCUGCCUCAGCCUCCUGAGGAGCCGGGAUUACAGGCACCUGCCACCAUGCCCAGCUAAUUUU